AUACGGAGGGUGCAAGCGUUAAUCGGAAUUACUGGGCGUAAAGCGCGCGUAGGCGGUUUGUUAAGUCAGAUGUGAAAGCCCCGGGCUCAACCUGGGAACUGCAUUUGAUACUGGCAGACUAGAGUAUAGGAGAGGAAAGUGGAAUUCCGCAUGUAGCGGUGAAAUGCGUAGAUAUGCGGAGGAACAUCAGUGGCGAAGGCGACUUUCUGGCCUAAUACUGACGCUGAGGUGCGAAAGCGUGGGGAGCAAACAGGAUUAGAAACCCCGGUAGUCC
rnacentral:rRNA from 1 species